UGACGAGUUUGAUCCUGGCUCAGAACGAACGCUGGCGGCGUGGAUAAGACAUGCAAGUCGAACGGGGCAGUUUUGUAGCAAUACCGAACUGUUCAGUGGCGAACGGGUGCGUAACACGUGGAUAACAUACCGGAAAGCGAGGAAUAGCCCAGGGAAACUUGGAUUAAUACCUCAUGUGGUCGCAAGACUAAAGGCGGGGCAACCUGUCGCUUUCUGAUUGGUCCGCGGCCUAUCAGCUAGUUGGCGGGGUAACGGCCCACCAAGGCGACGACGGGUAGCUGGUCUGAGAGGAUGACCAGCCACACUGGAACUGAGACACGGUCCAGACACCUACGGGUGGCAGCAGUCGAGAAUCAUUCACAAUGGGGGCAACCCUGAUGGUCGCGACGG
rnacentral:rRNA from 1 species